rnacentral:rRNA from 1 species
UACAGGGGGUGCAAACGUUGCUCGGAAUCAUUGGGCGUAAAGCGCACGUAGGCGGUCUGUUAUGUCGGAUGUGAAAGCCCUUGGCUCAACUGAGGAAGUGCAUCCGAAACUGGCAGGCUAGAGUACUAAAGAGGAUCGCGGAAUUCCCGGUGUAGAGGUGAAAUUCGUAGAUAUCGGGAGGAACACCGGUGGCGAAGGCGGCGGUCUGGGCCGAUACUGACGCUGUAGAGCGAAAGCGUGGGGAGCGAACAGG